GCCUGGCUGAUUUUGUCGGUAGAGUGUGUGACUCUUAAUCUCAGGGUUGUAGGUUCAAGCCCCACGUUGGGUG
rnacentral:tRNA from 1 species